GCCCAGGUGGUGAAAUUGGUAGACACGCUAGACUUAGGAUCUAGUGCUUUCGGGCGUGGAGGUUCAAGUCCUCUCCUGGGCACCA
rnacentral:tRNA from 1 species